rnacentral:rRNA from 1 species
AGAGUUUGAUCCUGGCUCAGGAUGAACGCUGGCGGCGUGCCUAACACAUGCAAGUCGAACGAAGCGCCCGCGCGGAUUCCCUCGGGAUGAAGCGCGGAUGACUGAGUGGCGGACGGGUGAGUCACGCGUGGGCAACCUGCCCCGUGCCGGGGGACAACAGCCGGAAACGGCUGCUAAUACCGCAUGAUCCGGGAGGGCCGCAUGGCCCUGCCGGGAAAGCUCCGGCGGCACGGGAUGGGCCCGCGUCUGAUUAGUUUGUUGGCGGGGUAACGGCCCACCAAGACUGCGAUCAGCAGCCGGCCUGAGAGGGCGGCCGGCCACAUUGGGACUGAGACACGGCCCAGACUCCUGCGGGAGGCAGCAGUGGGGAAUAUUGCACAAUGGGGGAAACCCUGAUGCAGCGACGCCGCGUGGGCGACGAAGCGCUCCGGCGCGUAAAGCCCUGUCAGCAGGGAAGAACAAAGACAGUACCUGACCAAGAAGCCCCGGCUAACUACGUGCCAGCAGCCGCGGUAAUACGUAGGGGGUAAGCGUUAUCCGGAUUCACUGGGCGUAAAGGGAGCGCAGGCGGCAAGGCAAGUCUGGUGUGAAAGCCCGGGGCCCAACCCCGGGACUGCAUUGGAAACUGCCGGGCUGGAGUGCCGGAGGGGUAAGCGGAAUUCCUGGUGUAGCGGUGAAAUGCGCAGAUAUCAGGAAGAACACCGGUGGCGUAGGCGGCUUACUGGACGGCAACUGACGCUGAGGCUCGAAAGCGUGGGGAGCAAACAGGAUUAGAUACCCUGGUAGUCCACGCCGUAAACGAU